ACAAGAACAAUAAAAAGCACGGCAACUCAUAACAAGAACAAUACGAAACGGCUCACGCAUAACAAGAACAACACGGCGGAGGCGCAGCUAACUGAUUCUUUUGGAGACGCGUUGUGUGAGGGGCUUGCCCCGAAACCAGGCAGAGAACAACAAAAACUGCACUAAAAAGCAGCGCCUGAACUGGUUGGAUCAAUCGAUCAGCACGACUCAACGAUCAAAGCAAUCCGUUUGCUCUUUGCCCCUGAUGUAGGGGCCGCCUGCAGCGAAGCUUGCAGGCAGGGCACUCAACAAAAACAAGAAGCCCGUCAUAACAAUAACAAGAGCACGCAACGACUUGAUGGGGAGCUUAGGCUCCCCAUGUCGUUUCUCACCUCAGCGUCCCUCCGCGACU
rnacentral:sRNA from 1 species